CUGUUAUUUAUAUGCUAUCAAUGUAUCCGGGUACUAGAGGGUCAUGAGUGGUGCAUGCUGGGAGUUGUAGGAAAGGGGCCGGUAACGUUCUGUAACAAGGUUUCGGUACAAUGAGCUUCUUAUGGGAGUUCACGAUAAGUGAGAGGUAGAGGUUGGGAGAAAACAUCGCGAGAGAAUACACAUCUGGUUCCAUCUAGAAACCUGUGUGUGUUUCAUGAGGCACAGGAGGUACCAUGAGAGAAAUAUUUUCUGUUGUACAUUUCUCUCAAACCUUUUUUUAGACAGGAAAGGAAACCACCGCAGUGUUCUCCUGUAUCCAACAUCCAAAGUCCUCCAGUCCCAAUCAGAAAAAUGUGGACUGAGGAUGAAAACAACAAAAACAGAAGUCUUAAGUGAGAUACUCUGAACAAUGAGAUUCAAUGGAGCGUUUAAAAAGAAGGCAGAGACAAGGAAAUAAAG